rnacentral:sRNA from 1 species
CUUCCUCGAUCUGCUGCGGGCAGAUGAAAUGGAUAUGGGCGUCCAUGCCGCCCGCCGUGACGAUCUUGCCUUCGCCGGCAAUCACCUCGGUAGAGGGACCGACGAUGAUGGUCACGCCGGGCUGCGUAUCCGGAUUGCCGGCCUUGCCGAUCGCCGCGAUCCGGCCGUUCUUCAAACCGAUAUCGGCCUUGACGAUGCCGGUGUGAUCAAUGAUCAACGCAUUGGUGAUGACGGUAUCGACAGCGCCUUGAGCCCGCGUUGCCUGGCUCUGGCCCAUGCCGUCGCGAAUG